rnacentral:rRNA from 1 species
GGUGGUAAAUUUCAUCUAAAGCUAAAUACCGGCUGGAGACCGAUAGCGCACAAGUAGAGUGAUCGAAAGAUGAAAAGCACUUUGGAAAGAGAGUUAAAAAGCACGUGAAAUUGUUGAAAGGGAAGCGCUUGCGACCAGACCUGCCCGGGGGCGAUCAGCCGCCGUUCUCGGCGGUGCACUCGCCCGCGAUCAGGCCAGCAUCGGUUUGGGCGGCCGGACAAAGGCCGUGGGAAUGUAGCUCCCUUCGGGGAGUCUUAUGGCCCGCGGCGCAAUGCGACCAGCCCGGAUCGAGGACCGCGCUUCGGCUAGGAUGCUGGCGUAAUGGUUGCAAGCGACCCGUCUUGAAACACGGACCAAGGAGUCUAACAUCUAUGCGAGUGUUUGGGUGUCAAACCCAUGCGCGUAAUGAAAGUGAACGGAGGUGAGAACCCGUCAGGGCGCAUCAUCGACCGAUCCUGAUGUCUUCGGAUGGAUUUGAGUACGAGCAUAGCUGUUGGGACCCGAAAGAUGGUGAACUAUGCCUGAAUAGGGUGAAGCCAGAGGAAACUCUGGUGGAGGCU